CACAAGCGGUGGAUGAUGUGGUUUAAUUCGAUGCAACGCGAAAACCUUACCCACCUUUGACAUGGCAGGAAUCCCGAAGAGAUUUGGGAGUGCUCGAAAGAGAACCUGCACACAGGUGCUGCAUGGCUGUCGUCAGCUCGUGUCGUGAGAUGUUGGGUUAAGUCCCGCAACGAGCGCAACCCUUGCCAUUAGUUGCUACGAAAGGGCACUCUAAUGGGACUGCCGGUGACAAACCGGAGGAAGGUGGGGAUGACGUCAAGUCCUCAUGGCCCUUAUAGGUGGGGCUACACACGUCAUACAAUGGCCGGUACAGAGGGUAGCCAACCCGCGAGGGGGAGCCAAUCCCACAAAGCCGGUCGUAGUCCGGAUCGCAGUCUGCAACUCGACUGCGUGAAGUCGGAAUCGCUAGUAAUCGCGGAUCAGCAUGUCGCGGUGAAUACGUUCCCGGGUCUU
rnacentral:rRNA from 1 species